UACGGGGGGGGCAAGCGUUGUUCGGAAUUACUGGGCGUAAAGGGCUCGUAGGCGGCCAACUAAGUCAGACGUGAAAUCCCUCGGCUUAACCGGGGAACUGCAUCUGAUACUGGAUGGCUUGAGUUCGGGAGAGGGAUGUGGAAUUCCAGGUGUAGCGGUGAAAUGCGUAGAUAUCGGGAGGAACACCCGUAGCGAAGGCGGCACUCUGGGCCGUGACUGACGCUGAGGAGCGAAAGCGUGGGGAGCAAACAGG
rnacentral:rRNA from 1 species